UACGGUGGGAGCAAGCGUUGUUCGGAUUUACUGGGCGUAAAGGGCGCGUAGGCGGCCACCGCAAGUCAGUUGUGAAAUCUCUGGGCUUAACCCAGAACGGUCAGCUGAUACUGCGGGGCUAGAGUGCAGAAGGGGCAACUGGAAUUCUCGGUGUAGCGGUGAAAUGCGUAGAUAUCGAGAGGAACACCUGCGGCGAAGGCGGGUUGCUGGGCUGACACUGACGCUGAGGCGCGAAAGCUAGGGGAGCGAACGGG
rnacentral:rRNA from 1 species